UGAAACAAAAGAUGCAAGCGUGUGUGUCGGAGGGGUGCAAGUGUGGUGUCCUAGUGCUACUGCUAACUCUUUCUUUCUCUUUUUUUUUAACGAAGCUACUGCUAGCUAGCUCCCGCAUGCUGCAAAGAGCAAUGGCAAAGCUAAUCUCCUGCCUAAGCCUCCAGACCAGCCCAACGAAGUAGUACUAGUACUCCUCCUCCCUCUCGGUUCUCUCUCUCCCUUAUCUCCCUCUCGGCCUCUCCUUUUCUCUUUCUCUCCCGAGCAAGCACGAACAGCACCACGCCGCCGCCUUGAUCUCCUUGCUCCGACCAUGUCCGGCCAAGCUGAGACCAGCUCUAGACUCCUCUCUCACUCCUCCUAUUUUAGAUCCCGAAAUUCAUUUCUACAAAACUCCACCAACCUAUCCCGAGAUUGCAACCCUAGCUUUUGGGCUGCCAUGGCCGCGGCCGUCUCCCUCGGGUCCGGUGCAGCCAACUUCAUCGUCUUCGACGACCACGACGCUUCUCCCUACGAUUUCUCUAGCAGCACGCACCACUACAACGACGAGGACUGCCAUGGCUUCUCGGCACGGCUCAGGUGCCGCGGCCGUCGCUGACGACAGCUAGGCUGGGGUCACGCCUACUCCUUCCCAGCUUGCCGGUGUUGGGACCAGCAGUCCGGCGCGUGGCCUGCUGCUAAGUAUCCUAAGAAAAGCUAAGUCCAUAUCUCUCUCAUUGACAGCAAGUUUUAGUGUAUUAGGGAAACAAGUUGUAGUGUUGAUUCUGAUGCAUAGAUGUCUGAUUUGGGUGAGCAAAGAAGAUGGUGAUUACUGGUAGGUAGAUGUGUUCUACUCCCUAUUAGCAAAAUGACAAUGCUAUUCACAGUAUACAUGGGUUCUGGAUUAGCUUUGUUAAAGUACUAACUAAACAUGGAUUUUAUUCUACUAUAAUCGUACAAGCAAAACAAUCAGGAGCAUGUGAGGCAAUCAAGAAUAACAUUUUGUUUUCCCUUUCAACACACAGAUCACCACACAAUAGCAAGCAGCGGGAAGGAUUGCCAGCAGGUGGAGUGGAGGUGGCUCGAUGAGGCAUUGGUGAAAAUGCAACAGUAAAAAAAAGUAGUUGCUAUUUAUAGUGUGUAGAAUACUAUGCAAGUUGAGGACAAGUGUUGGACAAGUUGGUUGCAUGGCUCACACGUGUUUCUCAGCUUGCUGGAAGGAAGAGCAGCAUGACACAAAUGGCAUUCAUGCAGCUGGGCCCACUAGGGGUUUCUUAGGUGCUAAGAAACUGUUUAAGGGCUGAAAUGUAAACCUAAAGGGCUUGUUUGUAAUUUUUGAAUUAUUAAUUUGUAAUAGAGGAUUUUGUAUUAAUUUUGUGAAAUAAGAUGAUUAGACCAUAUAAUUUUGGUCCUUGAAACCUGUGGUUUCACAGAAGCCUUAUUUUAUUUUGGUUUUCUCUACUGUCCCUCGUCAGGUUCUUUGAUGGAAUAGGUUUCUUUUGGUCGGUUAUACUUUUAGUUUCUCUUAAUUAAUGGAUCGAGCCGGAUCUUUUGCCUUCGUUUCAAAAAACAACUCGGUUAAUGCAUGUACUAACAUCUUAGGCAUGCGUUUCAGUCCACAUAUAUAAAUCUCAGAAACUUGAACCAUACGUCAACCUCAUUGCAUCACCGUCCCCCUCUUGCCAUUGAUGUUACUGCUAGAGGCCUGUAUUUAACUAAAGUAACUAAGCCUUUAACAUCAAAUUAAUGGGUGCAAUUGACUUGAGUGACGAUCACAGUUUUUCUCCCAAAAUUCCACCAGCGUUACCUCAGCAGUCAGCAUCGAUCGAAACCACACCAGAAAACAGCAAAAAGAAAAAAACGCAUGGAAAGAGUUUGUUCCAAAAAUGAGAAAAUCAAAUCAAACGAAAUGACAGUCCAAACUCCUCAACAACUUCACAUUCCUGCGUGAAACGAUCACGUAUUGUGUGUACUGUGUAUCCAACGACGGUCCAUGCAUGCGCGAGUCCACGCACGGAUGGCCCUGAUCUGCUCUGCUCUACCUAACCCGGUACGUGGCGCGCUAGCUCCCUGGCAGCGGCGGGCCGCUGCGGCUGCUGCUGCUGCUGCUGCAUGCGCAGCUGGCCGUGGAACCACACGAUGAACUCGUCGGCGCGCCGGUCUACCAAACCCGCCUCAUCGUCUUCUUCCUCCCGCGCAGCCGGGAACGGCGAGUCCGUGAUCCGCACCUGCCUUGGCGCCCCGGCGCCGCUGAUCUCAACAACAUCGCCUUCUUCUUCUUCGUCGCCGUCCAUGAGAUCGUACAGCCUCGUCACCGCUGCCGCCGACCCAUGCUCCGGGUCCUCGUCUUGCUGCAGGAGCCGGCGCCGCGACCGGCGGCGCCUGCGGCGGCGCCUGCUGUGGAGCGGCGUGCUGCUGCAGCUGAACUCCACCUCGCGGGGCCGGUACUCGUACUUGCUGUACACCGCGGCGCCGGGGUCCAUGGACCGGCACGACAGCGACGAAGCUGCUCCGCCGGUGAUGCGACCGCCGCCGCUGCGCGGGUACGGGUGCACGUGCACCGCGUCCACGGACCGGCAGGACAGCGCCGGCGCCGCGAAGCUGCAGUGGCGCAUGGAGGAGGACAUAGGCGAGAGCAGGUGGUGCAGGUGGACGCCGAGCGCGGCGAGCUUGGGCUGGUGCUUCCCCAGGCCCCUGGCAAGGACCAGGUGCACGGCCCGCGCCAUGCGCCACAGCUUCUUCCCGCUCAAUAACGCCGCCGGCGCCGCUGGGCCGUCCUCGCGACGGCCCACAUCGAUAUCGCCGUCCCCGUCGUGUUGCUCUUCCAUGGCCGCCCACUCCUGGUCACUGCCCAUCUCGAAUCCCCGAUUCAUCGAACUAGCUACCUUGUCUCCUUUCUCGAUUUGGAAAAUCCUCCAAGUCCUCCGGGCUCUGCCCUGCCAGAGGUAGCUAGCUUCUGAGUAUCUCAGGAAAAUGGCAAAUCUUUGUCAAUGACGGGAUUGGAAUAUGAAAUUAAGGACAGAUGUGCCGUGGUAUUUAAAGGGACAUGCGUUAGCGUACGGCGUGUGUUGUGGCUAGAUCACUGGACAAUUAAACGCCGCAAGGAGAAUUAUUGGGCCGGGGUGCGACGGCACGAUAGUCUUCAAAUUGUUCUUUUUGUGCUCAGACGCUUUGCUUCCGCACACGUACGACGUGGUCGACCGGCGUUUGUCCUUCCUUCCAUGCGAGAGGUUUUCGCUGGCGCUAGGCUAUAGGCCUGCUGCGACCCUUGCGUGUCAUGCCAUGCAUAUCUGGCUAAUCGAUCUGCGGAGGUCGGAUUAGUAGCUUUUAAACCCGCUUUUUUUGGUGAGCUCGAUCGGGUAUGCUAACUAAGUGUUUCCACGUUCGCUCUGAGUGGGGGCUGGAAAUCCCACGUUUAGCUUGCUUAUGUUUUAGAUAUCGACGACGUGGUAUAGCAUAGAGUGACACUUUGACUAUCAGUGUUUAAAGCUAACAUAACAUCCAUACUGAAAUAUUAAGGAAAGUGUAUUUCAUGACAGGCAUAGUAGCCUGAAUGUAGUGUCGUUGUACGUACUGGAUCAUGUUUGUAUCUUUUCUGUACUGGUAGUCGAUGGUCCACAAACCCAAUUGUUUUAUUUAUCAUUAUUAGUCACAUGUGUUCCAAAAUGAUAAAUAUUUAGAAACGGGAGAAGUACAGGUUAAGACAAUUAGGCGCUUUUCGUGUGUUCGUUAGAGCGUAGGUCGACAUGAAUAAAUGGCUAGAUCGAAACCGCAAUCAUGCACUGUAGACAAAUGGCCAUGCUUGGGACCAUCAAUAUAUCAGCUUGUGAUUGAGAAAACGGCACAUGAAGUUUCCACUAACUAGUGUCAUUAGUGUCCAUACAGCAGGGGUCAUCAUGAUGAAAUCGAUGUUGUAUUCAAGUGUACUCCAGAAGAGAAAACGAAGAGCCACCGAGACGAUUGGAUUCUAACAUUGAAGGCAGAUCUGCAAAGUAUGAUCAGUCGGGGAUGUCUAAUACGAAGUUAGGAACUCCAUACGCACCGGCCCCCCUUCGGGAUAUCAUGGUGGUGCAAAACAUUAAAAAAAAACAUGAACAUCACGUGUGCACUUAAUUUAUGGAGAAAAUAAAAUAUUACCUCCGUUUCAUAAUUCUUGUCGAAAUAUUAGAUGUAUCUAGACACUUUUUAGGGAUAGAUACAUCCUUUUUUGGUCAAAUUUGAGACAUGAAUUAUGGAACGGAGGGAGUAAGUGUUAUAUACUGAAUAUUUUUAUCUCCUUUUCUCACAGUAAACAAAUGUACAAAAUGUAUUGUCCCUCACGAAAAUCUAACAUGACCUCUAGCUAGCUAGCUAGCUAGUUUCUGUUUGUCACCCAGGAAUUUCACACUGAACAAUCCAGUUCCCAGAAAAAGGAUCAUAUUACCAUGAAUGCAUGAUGGCAGAAAAACAGAAAAUAUGUUGUGCUUUUGCAAGCCAGACAUUAGUAAAAAAAUAUAUUCUUGAAAGGAACAUGACAGUAGUAGCAGUAUACCGGCCAGUUGUUCUAGAUGAAAAAGGUAUAAUUACACGGUGCCUCUCUCCCUUCCAUGAAUUAUUAUGAAAUAAAAAAGUGGGAUUUCGAUGUCACCAGCUGGGACUAGGCAUGCCGUCGUCACUGUUCAUUAAUUGGAAUGUUUUAUGCACUACAGUUUUAUAACAGGGAGGAGUCCAUAAGCAGCAGCCGCCGUUGAUCGAUAUCACUGUCCAGGUUUAAUGGCGCCCCCUACCCAAUUAUACACAGCCCAUGUCCACCUCAAACAAACAGCUAAUGCCCAACAUCACCUGCUAAGAAUUCCCCAUGGUGUUUAGCGUGUAUAUUGUACAGUACGCGCGUACGUACUCAAGCAGGCCCACACACGUGUUUAAGAUAUUUUUGAGUCGUCGGCACCUGUUAAUAGUAGUCUGAAUUAACAUGCACCAUCUGCUCGCGAAAAGAUAUCCUAGGAAGGGCACUGUUAAUUUGCCCAUGGAAGUUGCGUGUGCCACGGCAAAGUGUGGUACGUAUACGUACGCGUGACAAGACAUUGAAGGAAAAAAAAACAAGAUACGAAGUACUACCUCUCACGUCCUAAAUUCUUGACUCAAAUUUAUCCAAAUAUGGAUGUUCUAUUUUUAAAAUGUGUUUAGAUACAUGUAUAUUUCGACAACAAUUUAGAAUCGAGAUUACUUAUUAAAAAAUACUGACUACUACUGUAACGGCUGAAGCUACGCAGGAGCUUAAUUAGCUGGAACUUUUCCGGGAAACCGAUGUGACAAAAUUAACACGGUACGUAGUCCGUGGUUGGCCUGGGCGUAAACGAAAGGAGGAGGGUGUGUGGUGACCGGUGAGAGAUGGAUCCUGGGGAUAACAUGGAGUCGACAUCUGGACCCUGGGCAAUGGAAAGGCGUCGGCGAAGGCGGGCAGAGGAGGCGAAAAGAAAGCCUUCGUUCGGAAAUCAAGGCCCCUGUGUAUAUGCCGCCGGAUCACAGACGUGGCGCGCAUCGUCUUCUACAGACCUGGAGACUGAAUACUCUCUCCCUUCCAAAACACAACUCAUAUAGAUUUUUCUCAUUUAUUUCCAAACACAUCUUAUUUUUUUCUUGGUACUCGCACCCGACCAAUAACUACUCACAUCUAUUUAUUAUUAAUUUAAUACGAGUAGUCAGGCACUAGAAACAAGAAUUGUUUUGAUCCAAAUGUACAAAUUUAUAUGAGUUGUGUUUUGGAACGGAGGGAGUACGCAAUUGACCAAGCCCAUCAGUUGAAGAAGUCGCUUAAAUAACAACCUCCCGUCGUAAUCAAAGCCCGGCCCAGUCCAGUCCAGCCCAGUUUAAUUGCUGAUUAGGACUUCGCUCUUUCGGAAAAAAAAAGAAUUUGCAAACUAAGUUUAAAUCUAGCAUUCUCGUGUCGAUUUCUUUAAAAGUUUCCCGACUGCACGAUCUUAUCUGAUUUUAUUUCACAUCUUAGGAAAAAAAUACUUAUGCCUUUUCGACUGUUCGUAUGCAUGCAUGAGCUGAUGAGCACGCAUACACAGCAAUACCAUGCACCUACAUAAAUCAUGUCUAAAUAUCAUCUGUAAUCUGAGAGGCAUGCAAGAAAGAUAUAAUCAAACACUACCGGCCAGCAGUCAACUUACUACGGAGUAGUACAUAGUACGGAGUAUAUAGUAAGGUGGUUUGGCAUGCAUGCGUUAGCGUGUGCUAUCAACAUAUAAUUAAGUUGGCGAGCCAGUGCAUAUAUACGAUAUAUAUGAUGCAUGCAUGCCCGUGUCAAUUUCUCGAUCAAUCACACAGGUUAGAUAUAUAAUGAAGCCGCCGCCUGCUUGCUCGACACGACCGAACGGUCUUCAAUUCGUCAGACGUACGGCAGCGCGCAACCGGCGGCGCCGGCGCCGGCGCGGCCUCCGCCGUUGCAGCACGCGGGUGGCUUAUUAACAACCAUCCCAGUUCCCCUGCCGGCGCCAGUGUUGCAGGCUCCGCGUCCGCGGUUCUGGGAGCUCUUGCGGGCGAUGUCGCGCAUGGAGCUGGCGAGGGAGAGCUUGGGGUUGAGCCGGACGGUGGAAUUGAACCGCUGGCAGAGCGCCGCGUGGGCCUCCACGGCGGCGCGCACGGUGAUCAUGACGUCCGGGUCACAGCGCUGCUGGCGCUCCUUGACGGCCUCCGUGCAGAGCCCGCACACGUACUUGCCCUGGAAGUGCUCCCGGACGCGGCCGAUGAACGUCGGCGUGCACUCCUCCGCCAUCCCGCAGCACUCGCACUGCACGCUCCGCGCCUCCCCCAGCGGCUCCCCCUGUGUCCACGUGCAUCAGCUUUAAAUUAAUUCGUGUAUAUGUUCAUAAUUUCUAAAUAUUUGUCGUGGUUUUAGUUGAAGGUACGGAGGGAGUAGAAGCUAGCUAUGAGCUAUCGAGGUGGUCGUUUGGAUGCCAUGGUGAAUAUAAUAUAUUGGUGAUCGAGAUCUACUACUGAUCUUCUGUACACGCUUUGGCAGUAAAAAAGAAGAAGCGGAAAUUAACGCCGUGUAGUAAUUAACACACACAAGGGUCAAUCCACGAAGAUGCUACUAUUAGCUACUUACCUCUCUAGCCAAGCGCCAAGGCAUAUCUCCCCGUUGCGAUCGACGACAGCUGGGCUAGCUAGCCCUCUCGAUCACGCGAACCUUCCAAGAGCUUCCUAUUCCUUCCUUGCACUCAAGUGCUUCCUACUGUAUAUCUCUAUCUUAGCUCUUAGCUAUAUGACCUUCUAACCAAGUGGUUAGCUAUCCUGGUCGAUCACUCGUGCACUCUCGUGUCUGCGACUCUGUGCACAUGCCGGCCUAUAGCUACCCCCAGGGCCUAUUUAUAGGGCACACACGGGCGGAAUGCCCGCGCGCGUUGCGCACACAGUAUCGCUUAUACACCACAGGAAAACAAAGAAACGCAUGCCCUUGUUGCCAUGUUGGGGGUGGAUCGAACUUGGUUUAAUUUGCGGCUCGUGCAUGCCAAGGGGAACGCGUCAGCCUGUCCAUCGGCCACGAGCAUGCAAGCUGGGCCGAUCGAGCAAAUGUCAUGGGUUCUGAUCGGUUACGACUUCAUCCGUACGUCGUCGCCGGAAAAGUAAGUACGUACGUGCUCGAUCAAAAUAUCCCAUAUGUAUGCGUUUACCCUGGUCCGGUUUUCCUAGGGAUAAAAAAUACUAAUAGUACAGUGUAGAUAUCUUCAAGCUGUGAAAUGGGCAGACCCAGUAAGUUGCACGUACACACAUGCUUUGGACUUAACUUUACCUUUCUUUCGUUUCUUUGCCAUCGGUUACAACUGUUGAAUGGAGUGAGGUUCAGGAUACCGGCGGGCAGGCGACCAGAAUGCACGUAUAUACUGUAUCACUCUCUGACUCCCUGUUGAUCUUCUGUGCAAAGACCUGUAUAUAUUACUCUGAACCUCGUUCCUUAACUUCGUUCUUUCUGAAUCUUAUCAAACAGGUCUGAAUCUUUUCCUGGUUUCUGAAUUUGUGAUGUCACGGAUUACUUUUGAGCUCGUCAUUUCAUCGAUCUGCAGGCAAAGCAAAAUGCCCAUGCAUGGAGAAGAUCCUAGCGGGUUGUCGAUCGAGAUCGCGCGCCUGUGAGUGGCUCACGGGAUGCGCAUCGGCCGCGUGAUCUUGCCCCUGACAGAGCACCAUCGCCUAACCUCAUCGCCGGCGGGACGGCGGGCACUUUCCUUGGAUCUUUUGUAGCUUCCUCUCCUUUUUUCCGUGCAGGUGGAUGAUGUGAUGCACGUUACGUCAUUCGUUCGUAUACUUCUCUCUAGUAUCAGAAGCUUCGUUAGAGCGUACGUCCCGGAGCCCGCCGGGCCGCCGCGCCGAUCAGGGCAACAGCAAGCGGUAAUAAGCGGUCCUCUAUUGAUGGUGCAUGCAUGCAGAUAUAUAGACCCUGCAAAUUGACAGUUCGUGCCCUGAAUUCGCAACCGAUGAACACGCAUCCAUACUCUUCGGAAUGUUGCUCCAGAGUAAUCGAGCUUGUCCCAGACGCAUGCAGCAUGCACCAGCUGAUUAGCUCCUGCCUGGAGGAGUUCCACACAAAAUUCGAGCAAAACUUGAAAAAUAUUACUCCCUCCGAUCCAUAUUACUCGUCAAAAUAUUACAUAUAUCUGGACGUUUUUUAAACAUAGAUACGUUCAUAUAGCAAAUUUGAGACAAGUAUAAUAUGGAUCGGAGGAAGUAAUAAACGACAAGUACAUUUUCGACCUGAAGUUAUACUUAUGCUUCAUCGAUCUUUGGCCAGCUUUCCAACACAUGUAAAUUUCCUAUCUAUUAAUCGGACUACAUUAUAAAAUGAGCCGUUCUGAAUGAUCACAAAGUGCAAAAGCUCCAUGCAUAAACUUUUGGACGGAAAAGGACAUUCAAAAAGAUCGGCUGAAAAAGCAAAACCACUUCAAAAAAAAGCUUGCAAUCAUGUUUCAGGUGAUCGUCCAUGGUAUCUUUUGUUGUCAUAUCACUACUAGAAUCCACAAAUUUUCCUAGUGCCAAAUAUUCUAGAUGAAAGCAAAAAAAUCUUAGAUAAAGGCUUCACCUAGGGACUGCACUAGGGAAAGAACCCUGGGUAUAGUAUGGUGGGGAAAGAGGGCUUUACCUAGGGGCAUUUUGACACCUCUAGGGAACGUUUCUUUACCUAGAGGCUUGAACUCUAGGAAAAGUUAUCACAUGGCAGCGGUGUGCCAAGGUGUAAAGCUACUGUCCCUAGGGCCAAUUUAACUCUAGGGAAAGACACGAGACCAAAAUUUUAAUCAAAUAUGCCACAUCAUCAUCUUUUCCUAGAUGACUUUACCUACUAGGCUCUCAAAUAGAUUCAAAUGGUACCAGAAUUCGUAUUUUGACCAUAUAUGAAUUCGUAUUGUCCAUAUUUGAAUUCAUAAUGACCAUAGUUCAAAUAUAUUCAAAUAGAACCAAAAUUAAUAACCAAUAGGAACAUAACACAAAAUGUUUAAUCAAUCUCAACCUUCAUUCAAAUAACAUGUUCGCAAUCAGUAAGAAGUGUUGUUGCUACAAAAAAUAGCCUCAUUAUUGAUCAACGGCUAGUGUUUGCUAUGCCAAACAAACAUGACUCAAGAUGUGAACAAUUGUCCCAGAUGAGUAUGCAGCUAGAAUCUGCUAUGCCAAAAAUCUGUGCAAAAGUAGGUUGUAUGCAAGACCUGUGCACCUGAAAAUUAGAUGACACAAAUUUUAGUUGUUUGAUGAAUACAUGUACAAAAUUUGAGCAGCAUAACAACUAUAAAUAUGAAAACGUGAAGGAGAAAUCAACUACAACGUGAAACGAGAAUGGAAGAACAGAAAUGAAUACAGGCUUGUUUGUUUCAUGAGUGUUUUUAUCUUGUUGGUUAACUAUUUUUUCCACAUCGGAAAUCAUGUUUGAAAAGGAGUUUAAAAGUGGUACUAAUUCUGACCUCAUACUUAUCCAUCCAUUCAAUUGUUCCAAGUCAUGCUAUUCUGCAUAAUUGCCAAUGACCAGAGCCAUUGUAGGAUUAUCAACUUGGUUCAAACAUUAUUUCUAAUUAUCAGUGAUGCCAAAGUAAACUUCCAGCUCUAGUGUGUGUACCAAUGCAUCGAGUACUAGUAGUAACUAGAAGGACCUGUCAAAUAUGAGUGCUAGUACUAGUAGUAGAAGGACCUGUACUUAGGCCACGUGUUGGUCUUGAAAAUAUCAGUAAAGAUACAACUGAAGCUAGAGUGGAGUAGAAAAUAAUUAAAUAAUUAAACAGAAAGUACAGAAAAAUAGGAGCUGGAGAGUGGAGAGGAAAAGGAGUCAGGGCCAGUGGUGCUGCAGCCUGUAGCUGGAAAAGUUCUCAGUAGCAGAACAGCGAGGAGGAGAAGCAGAGCAAGGAGAGUAUCAGGAGUUCAAGUGUUAAAGGUAAAAACUUGGAGUUGAGGGGAAAAACUGAAUAUUUGUUUACUUGUGUGUUGUUCAGAUGCUUGAAGAGUGGUUUAGGGGAAUCUCUGCUUGAGUUAAUUGUUGUUUUCUGUGGAAACCAAAUGAAGUAUUUGUUGCUCUAGUCAGGUUUCAGGCCUACAAAUAGAAGCCUGAUUACUGUAGAUGUUUAGAUUUAUCAUUAGCUGAGAAAGGAGCAAAGAAGGCAAGAUUCAAAUGUAAAUUCUGUUUUAUCCAGUGCGGGAGAGAGUAAAGGUGAACAUUUCAGAAUUUAAGCUGCAAAGAAAAACAAGUUUUACAGGGAGAGGGGGAGAGAGAGAGAGAGAGCACGCUAUUAUGUUCUUGUAAUUAAUUCAUGUCAAGUUUCGGAUCAUAUAUCCCCAUUCCCCACAGACAUAAGCACCCAUGCACAUCACAAAAUAGCCAUCUCGGGUUUUAUUUCAGAUGACACUUGGUUUUAUUUCAGAACACAUACCUAAACAGAGGAAUGAUUUUGGUGUUCUUGAGCAACAAGACUGGAGAAUGUUGUAUGCCAUUCAAAAUCUGCAAAACAAUAGAUGUGCUUUGAAAUGGCUACUUCCUUCUUUCAGUGUCAAACUGAGAAAGAUGAUUACAUACGUGAUUUCGGCUGUCAUUCAAAAUCUGCAAUUGCUUAGAAGACAUGGUAUGCUUGCUUGAUUGCUCGGUAGCACAAAGGAUCAGUUUGUUCUCUAUUCAUUCAAUCUGGCCAGCAAAAGCUUGUAUUUCUCUGAAAAAGAUGUACAAAAUAAUUAGGCAAAGCAAAAUAAUGCUAAAUCGUAUAGUUAGCUUUGUCGAUGUUGUACAUACAUCUGAACAUCAAUCUUCAGAACAUUUACUCGUGAAUUGCAGGCUUCACACAAUUGCUCCUUCAAAAUACAUACAAGAACAACAAUGCAUUAUCAUCUAUUUUCUUAUCAUUGCAUCACAAGGUUAAUCAGCAUCGUGUUUGCACGAACAAGGUUUCAGAUAGCAAAAUAUAUCAACAAUGACAACACAUGUACCACAAUUGCAGAACAAGGUUUCGCACAAAGAAUGCUCCUUCCAAUUAUAGGACAUUUAGAUAGCACAUUUAGCAUAGAGAACUAAUCAACUAAAUCAAUUGCUAAAAACAUCAUGGUUUCACACAUCAUUCAGAUAGCACAACUAGGAGAAAGCAAAUCAUUGUUUCAGAGAACCAAAUCCAGUAAGAAAGACACCUAGAAUAGCAAAGUUCAUCAAAAGAACUAAUCCUAGAACAUGUAGAACAUAGAGAGACCUAGAUAUAUAUAGAGAGAAGACUGAGAGGGGGAGAGAGGACAAACCAGAAGGGGUGGCGCACAUGGUCCUGUGGCCGUAGAAUCAGAGGAAGGCGGUCACCACAGGGACUCACUACGAGAAGAAGACGGACCCCGCCUCUGCCGCAGUUCCAGGCGGGUUUCAGGCACGGACACCGCGAUCGCAUCCUCGUGGCGGCGCACCGAUGGUGACAGCGGAGGCGGUAGUGCGGCGGUCCUUGUAGGAAAGGUUCUGGCGGCGCCGGUACGGCAGGGCGGCGCGGGCAUGGCGAGGAGGCAAAGGUAUUGCGGGGCUAUGGAAUGGCGACGCGGCUAUGACAGGGAGUCGGGGGUAUGGCGCGGCUGAGCAGAUAUGGAGGGUUGGAGACGGGACGGAGCCGGACGGCGCGGCUACGACAGAGAGGCGCCGUGGAGGCGGGGUGGAGCAGGGCGGCGCGGCUAUGGCAGGGAGGCGCCGAGGAGGCGGGCGGCGCGGCUACAGCCAGGAGGCGCCGUGGAUGCGGGUUGGAGGCGGGCGGCGCAAGGGGAAAGGAGACCGAGGGGAAAGGAGACAGAGAUACAAUAUUAUUUUUUUGAGAUGGGAGAAGGCUCACUUGUUGUCUCGCGCGGGCAUAGCUGAAAUUUUUCGCUUUGCUCUCUAUCACUCAGGUGGGCCUGUGUGAAGCAAAGCGCGCCCAUGGAAAAAAGAGCGCGGGGCUGACUGAAAAGAGAAGAAAAAUCACACGUCGGGGGCAUCUUCUUCAGAUUCUUUACCUAAAGCUCAAAUAAACUCUAGGGAUACUUUACCUCACAUUUAUUUUUGGAUGCAAAUUCUCCUUACCUAGGGUGUUACUGUUUGCAUCUUUACUUUACCUAGAGGAGAGAAAUCAGCUCAAGGUAAAAAGGUUUGCUCUAGGAAAAAUUGUGAUUUCUAGUAGUGCCAAAGAGAUUUUCUGUUAUCGUCGUAGUCGAGUCUAGAUUGUGUUGAAAUUGACGGUGAAGGACUCGGAUAGCAGUUUGGUCAAAUCUAGCUUCUACGAGUGAAGUGAGACAAGGGUGACGGUAAAACCUUUGCUCUGAGCGACGCGUACGUGUUGUAGUGGUUACGAUAUUGAUUGUGCCGAACUUAAUCCACUUGGCAACCAUGCAUAUGUAAUUUUCUGACAAGCGUAAAUCAUGACAGAAGAUGUCUCCGGAUGUAAAACAGUAUGCAUGGAGAAGGUUCUUCAACAAGCCGUUACUAUAGCCCGUUACUAUAGCCGUUGCUUUGCAUUCCAUGUCAUGACUUCUCUCUUCUAUCCAUCAUUUUUUUCUAAUUAAAAAAUAUUAUUUGUACUAGGGACUCAUUUGUCAUACUCCAACUUUUUUUGGUACCCGUGAAGUAACAGUUUUUUGCAGGAGUAACUAAUAACUAUACUUCUUCCUACAUGCCCUAAGAGACUUUUUUUCCUUUUGUAACUAAGGCAGAAAGAUUUGCCUCAUUUUAUUCUUUAAGUUAAUUAAAAAAAAGGGGGAAGCCAUCUAAAGACACGACACCACAGAAGCCUACUUUCCGCAUAAAAUGUUCUCCAGUGUCUUGGCUGCCUCAGACUUAUUUUGGCAAUGGUUAUGGAUGGCUAAGAGCCUUGCCGGUGAAAAUUUCCAUCCCGUCCACCAAUUCUUGACGCAAUUGCAUUGUUUCACACGUGAGAUUGGAAGUUGAUUAGUCCGAGCCAAUCCCUCGUGGCGGCCCUCCAGGCUCCAGAUUCUUUCGGAGCCGUCUCACUUUAAUUACUCGGCCAUCCUCUCCAUUGGAGAGGUCAGUCGUCCAGACGACCAGACAUGCGGGAGACACCCAUGUCUUCCAAAGUCCUGUGAUAACCCCAACUAGACCUGUCGGGCUUGGUAAAGUUCAGUAGCAAAACCUCAAGCCUAGGCUGGCCCGGCCCAGGAAAAGUCCUUUUAUACCUAUUUUCGGAAAAAUUAAACUGGAGCCCGGGACACUGGGCCGAGCUGGGCCACCCAUGCCCAAGUCUCCCCAGCCAACUGAUAGCAUACUAGCGCUGUGUCAAAGGCCGAAAAGCAGUAGGCUAUAUGGGCCGCAUAAAACCGAAGCAACUUAUGCAGAGUGGGCCGAAAGUAGGGCCUAGCUGUUCUUCUUCCCCUUCCCUCGGAGGAAUAACCCCGUUUACCUUUGCGAUUCAUUCACGUGUGGGCGUCGAGCCGUCGAUCCACCGAUGCGAGGGCACGGCGAGGGAGGGUCGGUGAACAACAGAACAAUUCGUGACUUCGUGUUUCCAGCAACAGUGGCGGUACUACUACUCCACCUGGCUAGCUUUUGCUCCAUCGAUCAGGUGCACCCAGAAAGUCAGAAACAGAGGCCUGCCGCCCGGUCCAGUGAACGUAGUAUCAGCAAGAUGAGCCGCGUACGUCGCCAGGUGGUAAUAAAUUGUUUCACGGAGGCACAACUUCUCAUGGCACGGGAAAGAUCGAUGGACAUACUGUAUUCACGAACGCAGACGCAGGGGCACGGCACGGGCAGCUUCCCUGCGACUCGCCGGUGGUGCACGCACGUGGCCGCACGUGCGCGGCAGCGCGAGCACUCCCCCAUGCGCAUCUGCAGGCCGGUUGCCUGCCGCCGGUGGCCGGGGAUUGGCGGGGCCGAAGCAGCGGGAUGCGGCCACACACUUGGUUCGAUGCUGCCGUUUUCCCAUGUGAACUAGCGGGUCACCCCGCAAAUUGCGCGAUUAGACUUGUACAUGAUUUAUAUUCUUUGUGUAUGUUUAUCUUUAUUUUUUUAAUUGAUUUAUGUAUGUUCUGAAUGAUUAGAUAGGUUUAAAUUGAACAAAUUUCAUAAAGCACACAUUUUGUUGCUAUGGUAUCACAACCACACUUAACACCAAUUCUUUUCGUAGAACCACGACUCUUAAGACCAUUUUUCUCAAGUGACCCCAAUAUGCUAGUUUAAUGGGUUUGACAACAUUCCUGACAUGUGUGGCCCACAUGUCAUAAGGCACAUGCAAGUCAAGAUCGGAAGAAGUUGGGGUAAAUUAGGGGGAGAAAAGGAGAGGGUUAGCGGGUCAAGUAGGGUCUGACAUUGACCUUGUAUGUGACAUGUGGGUGUGAUUUUGAAUUUACUUGUUUAAAUUUAUAUCACAUUACAUUGUAGAUUAAGUAGUCAUUACAUGUUUUCAAAAGAGUUGUAUUUUACUAACACUGUCUACAAUACUGAAGUGUUCAGGUUGCACAUGUAACAUAUGUGUUUUUGCUGCACUUAAAUUUGCUUAAUUUAAAAGGUUUUCUUUUAGACAUCAAUUAUAGAUGUAUAGUUUUUAAAUCCUUGGUAUAGAUAAUGCAAUAAACAUUCCAUUUUAUCCGGCCCGAUUUGUAUUUCUUACUCCCGUCAUCCCUUGGCAUAUACAACUUUUCCGAAUUUCUUUUAGCCGCAACGCACAACACAAAAUCUCCCUCAUUCUGUCAUGCUGCUUCCAGCAGAUUGUAGCAUGUGUCCAGUUGCGGCCGUUUUCGUGGAAUUAAUUGGUGCACCUGUGGUAGAUCGGCUUCCGGCUAGCGUUUUGUGCGAGUUUGUUGCUACCGGUAAACAGCGCUGAUCGGCACUCGGAUUUUCACACCGACCAGCAUCUCGAGUAGGAUUGUAUUUUAUUUUGCUUCAUUCUUGUUGUAUUCAAAGACGUUAAGAGAUCCAAAGAGGUUUUGUGUUGUAUUCGAAGACAAUCAAGACCCAAUUGACUAUGGGAUAUACUGUGCCGUGAUUGGUUUCCUUCAAACUUAUAUGCUAGGUUAAAUAUCCACGAUGAAAUCUUGACCGUACGGUAAUUUUUGCAUAAUCUAGACCAUAAAAUUUCUGCUACUUUAAUUCUAUAUAAUUAUAUUAUAAAAAUCUAAAUUGUACGUUAACUUUUGCAAAAUCUGGACACAACAUCGAAAAGAGAAAAACACUGACCUUUUGGUAAUGGCGUCGAGGGCCACAGCGGCGGCUCCAGCGAAGGGCGGAGUGGGGACAUGGCAUGGCAGUUGCAUCGGAGGGAGUGUGGUCGCAGUGACAACGAAUAGCGAUUGCGGCGGGUGGCAAGGUCGCCGCGACGGUGCGAUGCGCGCGGCCAGUGGAGGCGAUCAUGCCGUGGACACGGCGAGGCAGCGGCACCCGCGGGCGCUGCAAUGUGCUGCAUGCGGACGUUUAGAUGCAAGGAGAUUGUUUACCAAAAAAGACGAAGUAGAGAAAAAGCAACGAUGGUUUUCCGUGAUAUGCAGCGCAGGCUGCUUCCUUCCUGGACUCUGAUCCAAACAUCCGAAUAAAUCCAACUCUGAUCCAAACACUCGGACACAUGCAUGCCCAUGUCCGUAUUCUUGUCUAAUUGCGAUGCAAUCACACGUAUAUGUCAUGUACGGCUGUACAUGCCAAUAAUAACUGUUUUAGUUAUAUAAUAGAUCGAUAAAUCUGGAUCAUAAGAUUUCUGCUAUUUUAAUUAGAUAUUAGAUUAAGCCGGCCCGGACCAGUCCCACCCCCGCCCCGGCACCGUCCUGCCCAGAAUGGGUACCCCUAUCUGCAACAAAACCUCUUUGCUUACAUGGUCAGGUGGUGUAUAUGUCCAAUUUGCAGAACGCAAAGACCUUUUUUAGCUGCUGUUUCCUGCUGGUGGUUGUCCAACGUUUGCAAGGAGAAAUCAGAAAUCCAAUCUUGGGGUAGAUAGGCUUGAGAAAAAUCUGAAUUCUGAACAAACUCUGGAAUUGACCGCCCUAAGUAAAACCUUUGAUAAAUCUCCACACCAAAUGCGUACGGCGUACUAACGUGGGUCAGAUAUCGGAUUCAUCUGCUCGGAGUACUAUCCAGCAACCUCCAAGAAUUUCCUGCGUAGGUACGAUCAUUGUACCGCGUCAAAUAUUUAUUCGCCGAACAGAAGCAAAAAAGCGUCUUUCUCUUGCCACGAAAUCCGUCAGGGACAGAGGCAGUCGGCCGGCCGUACUGCAAUGGGUAAAACGAAGCUUUCGGUUUGCAAAGUACGUAUUACGUACGUCGGCACGCACGGAUCGACCGUCCAAAAAAGAGGCCCGAAACGAGGUGCAAAGAGAUGAGACACCAGGAAGAAAGAAAAAGAGAAUCCAUCCAAUCCAACAGCGCCGGACCAAAGAACAUUUUAACAGCGCGGUGGUUGGAUCCAAUCUCUCGCAGUCACCACCACCCAGUAGCCCCACGCACGCACAGACUACUACUACUGCCCCCGCCUGCCACGGUAGCCGACAUUGAAAAAAAUCCAGUAGCUGACACUGAAAAAAAGUUCACUAGCAGCAGCAGCAGCUGACAUAGUAUAGCCUUUCGCGUAAUGCCGGCCAGUGACUGCUCGUUGUCACGAUAUGCUGUAAAAAGAAUUCGCGAGCAUCGGCAGGGAGCAUCUGUUCUGUUCUGUUCUGCGGUGAAGUGCGGAAGUGCGAGAGGGGAGAAAAGACCAAUUUACGGCAGCUGCGUGUUGAGUGUGAGUUAUUCUUCUCUCACGAGAUUCGCAUGGUCACGUGCACCUUUCGCUCCCCUGCGUAAGUACUAGGCCAGGAGCUAGCCAGUACGUGCUAGUUCGGUUGGGCACGCCCAAGUCGUGCCACUUUGUGCGCACCAGCGACCCCGCGUGCGUGCGAGACUGCGAGCAUGCCUUCCUUAUCAUAUCAUUUCAUCGAUUCGCAUUGCCACCACAGGGGCAUCAUCAUCAUCGAUCUUGCUCGCCUCAACACAGACAAGAUUGGAAAAUCACAUGCAGCUCAGCUUGAGAUUAACAAUCUGAUAUUCUAGGAACACCCUUGUAGCAUUGCAUUACAAGGAGUAAAAACUCUAUCAAGGAAAAAAGUCUAAAUAACAGAGAAGAAAAUGGAAAACAAACUCCCUAGCUAAGCUAGUACAGGAUUUAUCUCUAAGCAAACUUGAGAGCUGGGAAAUGGAGAGUCUAAAUAGCAGCAGCAGCAGCAGCAGCAAGCAUACAGGUCUCAGGAAAAGAUAAAAUUAAAUCCGGAGAAACAUCGAACUCCCUAGCUGAAAAGAAGAAGAAGAAGAAGAAAAAUUAGCUGUUCCUCUUGCUGAAAAUUAUUCCUGGGCUAAACGAAUCAAUCCUAGCUCGCAGGCGGGCGAAGACGGCGUCCCUACCGGUAGCUGUGGUGGUGGCCUAUGCGGUUGCGGAGCAGGAACUCGUCCGCGCCGGCGAUGAGCGGCCCGUCGAACAGCAGCGGGCUCGGCACGUGGACCUGCAGCCCCGGGUGCGGCUGCGGCUGGUGGCCAUGGUGGUGCAGGUGCUGCUGCUGCUGUGGCGGCUCCUUCUGGCGCCGCAGCUCGACGACCUUGCGGUGGGAGUUGGAGUGCCUGGACGCCUCGAAGGUCGGGCUGGCCGCCGGCCGGUACUCCGGCACCAGCCUGCCGGACUUGUACCGCACGCCGCACGCGUUGCACAGCGUCUUGGGCCCCAGCGGCCCCGUCCUCCACUGCGGCGUCUUGUCGGUCUCGCAGUGCAGGCACCGCCUCCCUUCCGCCGCAGCCAUGGCCGCCGCUGUCAUCGGCGCUGCUGCUGCAGGAAGGGGAUCCUUCUUCUUGGCAGCCUUCGCGGGCUUCUUCGCAGGGAAGGGCGGGAAGGCAGUGCCCGAUUCAGAAGGCGAGAUGACCGCGGAGGCCGGGGACGGCGGCGAGGCCGGAGCCGGCGGGAGCACGAGGAGCCUGGAGGACCAGUUGCAGGGAGCCACGCGGGACCGCUUGCUGCGCGCCUUGCCUGGCACGGGCACAAGCGCCGGCUCCGAGUGCAGCGCCCCACCGGCGCCAGCGCCGGCGCCGGCGCAGGCGGCAAGCUUCGGCGCGGGCGCGCGCGGGGCGGCGGCCGGCAGCUGGGACGAAGGGAAGCCGGAGAUGAGCUGCAGCUUCCGGAGGUCCUCCGUGGGCAAGUUGUCGUCGCCCAUGUAGUUGGACACCCAUUCCAGCUCUGCUAGCUGGUCAUACUGCGUUGAGACAAAAUUUCACGGCGAGGAAGAAGAAGAUGAAACAGAGAGACGAAUUCAGUCAGUCAGUCAGCAAUGGGCAAUCAAUCAACAACUCUUGGGACUACUGAUUACUAGUACUACUGGAAAUUAUUCGGUAUCUGCAAAGUGGGGAGAGCAUUUAGGACGUUGCUAUUUCUGGCCUCCCGGGUUUUCAUCAGUUGCUAUUUACGGGAGAUGUUGCGUUUCCCUUCAUUCGUGGGGGGCGUUUUCAUGCGGAUUGACCGCCUCCUCCUCCCCCUUCCAGGAAACGAAAACUAGUACAGCUAGCCGAAAUUCGAACGAAUUCCGGCGUAAAUUCGUGGAAAGAAAGAUGAAACGCGAAAUUAACAUACGAGAGGACAGGAACUUAAAACGGGGGAGGCCUUACCGGCUCGCAUAGCCCGCCGGAGAAGUCGCCGUCGGCGAGGCCGGAGAGGGAGUUGUUGCCGCUGUCGACGGCCGUCACCGUCGACGAGUCGCCCGACGCGUUCCCGGCCUCCCCGCAGCCUCCGCCGCCGCAAUCCCCGUCCAGCCCCUCCGCCGCCGCCGCCGCCUCGUCCCCCUCCUCCUCAUCGCACGGCAGGUCGAGGAGGUCGUCUACGAGGAAAAUCUCCCCGGCGUCCUUCUUCUCACGGGCGCCGCCCGCCGCACACUCCGCCGCCGCCGCCUCCAUCCGCUAAUCUCCUCGCAGUCGUCUCUCACGGGAACGGAAAACAAAAUUCGUCCUCGAGUGGAUUUCUCUUUUCCGCCUCCUCGCCCCGGAAUUUUCUGUCUGAUUUUUCUCUGCGUGCGUACGUGGAGAGGGAGGCGGAAAUAACGCGAGGCGGAGAGAGAGUAGGGUUUUAAUUGGGAGGCGUUGGCGUUGGAGAGCGGAGUGGAAUAGAUAGAUAGAUAGAGAGGUCAGGUCAGCUUUGGAGGACGAUUCUUCAGGAGUAAAUAAAGCCACAGCCAGCCGCUCCACCGGGGUGUCAAAAACCUGGACGAUUUUGAAAGCUUGUUAAUAUUUGGGUUAUCUCGUAUUUAUAGGAGCAUGAAAGAAAUCUCAAAUUUAUUGUUGCCCGAAGGACGACAACUUUAUGUGAUCAGAAUGAGCUCAUCGACGGGUUGUCAACUGAGUGAGCUCGAGCCGAGGAACAUAUGGCCUGCACCGUUGGGUAGUCAAAAGUUGAGCGAUUGUAGUUUAUUGUUGCGGGAAAGAUGAGAGAUCUAUUAGGUCAACCUGCGCUCAUCGUCGGGUUGUCAACGAUGCGAUCUCGGGCUGAGAAACGUGUGGUCACUGUCAGGUAGUCAAAAGUUGAGUGAUUGUAGUUUAUUGUUGCGAGAAAGACGACAGAUCUAUGAGGUCAAACUGCGCUCAUCGUCGGGUUGUCAGCGAUGCGAGCUCGAGCCGAGAAACGUAUGCUUGGCAGCGUUGGGUUGUCAAAAGUGAAGCGGCUCGGAGUUUAUUGCUGUGAGAAAGACGACAACUGCAUGAUACCAACCAGUGCUAAUUUGUCAGGUUGUCAACAGUGCGAGAUCGAGCUGAGAAACGUAUGGUCAGCAACGUCGGGUUGUCAAAAGCCUAGCGCCUCAGUGUUUAUUGUUGUUGGAAAGACGACAAUUGUAUGAGAUCAACUUGUGUUAAUUGUCGGGUUGUCAAUAGUGUGAGCUCGAGCUGAGAAACGUAUGCUCAGCAUCGUCGUGUUGUCAAAAGUUGAGUGGCUUGGAAUUUAUUGUUGUAGAAAAGACAUCGGUUCUAUGAGAUCAAGCCAUGCUCAUCGUCGGGCUGUCAACAAGCCGAACUUGAGCCAAGAAAUGUGUGCUCGUCGUCAGGUUGUCAACGAGUCAAUCUCGACGCGCUCGUCUCAAACUCGUUAUAACUCAAGUUGACCGUGAUCAAUUAGUAAUUCUCAUCAAAGUUGAAGUAUUAGGUAACAAACUUCCCGAAAUCAACAAUGAUUAAAGUAAAAGGUGAGAUAAACCAACAAAAAUCUAUUUCAGACUUCCCGAAAUCAACAAUGAUUAAAGUAAAAGGUGAGAUAAACCAACAAAAAUCUAUUUCAGACAAUAAAUAAACGUUGAGAUAAUUGCGCGCGAGGAUCUCCCAAGUGGGUAGAACAUGAGUAACUAGACGCGGAGAGAAUCUUUAGUACUCCCUCCGUUUCAUAAGGAUUGACACGGUUUUAAACUAGCUCUCUAGUCUAAAUCCGUGCCAAUUUUUAUGAAACGGAAGAGUAGCAUUUAGCAGCAUCAGUAGUUUGUUGCGAUAGGAAGAGGAAUAAAAAUUUGAUGCUUGCAUAUAAGAGGAGAAGGGGGAGACCGGUGGAUUGCUGAGUCAGGAUAGUCAGCAUUGUAUCAUUUAUUGUUUCCCGAAACAUUAUACAUCGGUCUCUGCAUCAAUCGACGCCUCAAGCUCGACCCACGAAGGGCAUCCAUCAAACAUGUCGACCAUUUUUCACAACUAUGUUAGUGGCAUUCGUUACAUAUAACAUUAUCUGUAUACAAGGUAUCUGUAAUAUUUUUUUUACAAAAAUAAAACGUUUGACCAUAAUCUGUUGACUUUCGAUUGAAACGUGGAAGCGGCAUGAAAAAAAAUCUCGCGCGGUUGGACCAUCUGGGGUUGUGCACCUGAUCAACGGAAGGCAUCACCUAGGGAAAGUAACUUCACAAGUUUACAUCCCCACCAUCCUGUCUCCAUCAAAUUUUGUACCGAUAGCAAAACUCACCUACCACGGUAAAAAAAGAAGAAGAAGAAUCCUGGACGUUUGGCCAUGGAGCCUUUGCAACACGUUGAAAAGCAUCGCAAACAAGAACUGACGUCCGAAAGCAAAAAAAACAGUUCAAAAAACAAAAAGGAAAACUGACGUCCGAGAUAUCGCACACGUUAGCCGCCCAGCGAGGCGCCUCCGUGGAAGGCGCGCACGUCACGGACCCCGCUCUCGUGCUGCCACGCACGCACCACGUGGGCCGCCCCGCCGCUGAGCCGCUGAGGGCGCCGCUCGCCGUCGGAUGCGUGCAGCCCAACGCGUGGCCGGCAUCGGUGUGGGAUAUUAGUGGGCUGCGGGCCGAGAUGAUGCAACAACAUGGAGGGCCAGCCCGCGCGCCGGCGUCCUGCGAGAGAUCAUUGAUCCCGAGGUGGAUUGGCCCUGGGAAUCGUGCCACGUGACAGCGCUGUUGCCGGUUUCGUUUUCUUGGUAUAAAGUUUUCGUUUUCUUCGUAAAACUAUUAAUUGUUUCGUGUCCUCGGGCGGUAGCUAGGCACACCGGCGGGUUAGCACGCACCUAAACCUAGACGGCACAUGAUUGAAUCAUUAGCUUUAAAAAAUCGUGAACGAAAGAACACUUCUUUAACUUUUCACCAAGAUUGCCCAUUUUCACUCGUUAGACCUAGCUAGUACAGUAGUACCACUCCAGUUUUACAUGUUUAUAGAUAAUGUUAUACUCCCUCCGAUACUAAAUUGUUGUCGAAAUAUUACAUGUAUCUAUACGUUUUUUAAAAAUAGUUACAUCCCUAUUUGGACAAAUUUGAGUCAAGAAUUUAGUAUCAGAGGGAGUACGUAGUACAAUUAUUUGUUGUUUUUUUUGACAGAAAACCACUGGGUAGUUAACUAAUCUUUUAUACCCUGACCUCUUUUAUACCCUGACCACGUAUACAUGGUGGUAAAAUCUGUCCUAACAAUGAUCUAUUGAAAUAUUGAUUUCAGACAAUCAAAAAUGUUUUCUCAUUGAUCUUCCUGAUAAAGAUAUUGGAAUCCUCCUGCAGUUGUCAGACUCCUGCCCCUCCGUCAAUCCCAACAGUAGGAUACACGAGAGCCGAAUACAUUAUUCCGCCCACGGGCUCCACGGCCCAGUUUUGAAGCGAUGGGACGGGUGCAGUGGGAUCCCACCAGCCACGUGAGUCCUGCGUGGAGCCGGCCGGGCUCGCACGGCACAGACGUCCGACGGGACACCGCUUGUAUUUUGCCUUGGUCAAUGCCUCACACGUACUCCUAUAUAUUAUACGUCGCGCCAUCCCAUCCUAUCUAGUACUCCUACAUACGAGAAUGACGAAUGCGUAUAUGCGUCGUUUCUUUCCCCUGCCAUUCCAAGAAGCGGUGACGGUACAUGACAACAGAAACAAUGGGGCCCGUAAAGCUUGGUUCGGCCAGCAACUAUCGCCUCAUCUGGCUUAUCGUCUUGUGUAAAGCUAGCAAUUAGCAAAACCUUUAGAAACCAGAAGCCCACACAGCCACACGGCGUAAGUACUUUCUCCUUUUGCAAGAGUGGUUUACACGUCCACAAGUAAAGCAAAGCACAUGACUGGCGGCGUCCGAGCACAGCAAUCGAUCGAUAGCAGGGCGCCAUUUUUCACCAGAGGUUUGUGUAAAAGGUGAUCGAGUGCAUGGCCAUCGAUCGAUCGAGCUUGCCCGCCGUGGCAUGCAUGCGCCAAACUUAUUUUUCUCUCCACGAUGCAGUGCCUGUCCAAAUGCGGAGCCCCAGCAGCCGGAGGAACAUGCGCUGUCCGUAAGUAGAGUAGCAUUCAUGCAGCCUUACACUACGUCAAGUUUGUGUAGGAUUCAACGGCGAUGAUUACACGAUAAGCUUUCGUGCUUCAUGGCGCUUUCCUUUUUUUUUGUUGAGAAAAGCUUUGCCGAUUUCUUUGUUGGGGGAACGUGUGAUAGAGAACGUUGCAGCCCAAUAGCCUGCUGCGCAGGGAUCAGCUCGAGGAUAUUCUUUAUGGGCCCCAAAUUGCAAAACGGUCGGCCCAUCUAGCGACUGCCACGGAACAAGAUGAACCCGCUAUCAACACAACACUGAACACAGUUCUCAAAAAAAAAAAAAAGACACUGAACACUGUCCCUCUCCUCUCUUGAGUCCCGACCGAAGCCACCGGAUAGCUUUACGCGUCGUUCCAAUCCAUGGCGCCCCCGCCGCGGCGAGACCCGAACUACAGCAUCAGGCGGAAGGUGAGCACCGCCAGCAGCCACCAUGUCUCCGUCCGCCACAGCUUCCUCUUGGUACCGCCACUCUCUGCACCUAAUUAAACCCUAAUCUCUCCUCUGUCCCCCCCCCCCCCCCCCCCCCCCCCCUGCAGGACGAGGAGCAGUGGGUCGCGGUGAGUCUCCGCCCGGCCAAUUUCCUCCCGGGCGUGGCAAUAGGGUUCCUCCUGGGCAUCAUCCUAGACCUGUCCUCCUCCUGGAGAUCCAGGUUCAGCUUCGCGUCGGCUCCGGCGUCACGAGCCAACAAGCGGACGGGCGGUUCGGUCGCCCCAGGCGAAGAACUUAAGAUGGUAAGCUGGACUUCGAAAUGUUCUGCAGGAUUGUGCCUAAAUUUCUAGUACAAAAGGACCCAUGCACAUUCCAUGCAUGAUUAAUUGGCUCCUGGCCCUGAAUGCUUAUCAUCUGGGCUGUGUUUUUUUGCUUUCUUCAUGACUUCGUACCCUGAGGAUAAGGAAAUGCCUGUGUAUUGUUACACAUCAACAAAUCACAUUACCUCAACAUUGUUAUGUUGUCACGCUCCAUGACACACCCUUGGCUUUGCAACAGUUCUCGGUUGAGCUUUUCCAUGGGUAGAAUUGGGAAUUUUUUAUGGAGGGCAACAUCUUGGACGGAUUUGAAUUUGUGGGGUUGGAGUCGAUGAAUGAGGAGGACAAUUACACUGGCAUGUAGGUUUUACCGUUUGACCAACAAUUUGAGAUGGCCCCACAUGUAAAGGAUGAUGAUGAGAAUGUAAACAGACUGUUACCACUGGUUGAUGUCUUUAUAGGAGUGAAGAAUGCUGGAUCGCCUGAACUGUGUUUACCAAAUACUCUUUGUUUUCUGUUGGAAUCCCUCGAUUCUAGAUUUAAACUUGUUUUGAGUUUGGGCACUGUGGUUUGCAGGUUUUAGUCGUGCGUCAGGACCUGAAGAUGGGUGCUGGAAAAAUAGCAUCUCAAUGUGCACGUAAGUUCAUUUCUUGGAUUCUUUGUGUAAGCAUUUGUUUCUUGACACGUCUCUUUAUGUUGGACCUAUCCUGGCCCAGAGACAGUAGUUUGCUCAAAUAGAACUUAUUCCUUGCCCAUUCUGCAACAAUCAAAAUCUAGCCAGAGCAACUCUAGUUUAAGUAUGUACGAAAAUGGAAUUCAGUAGAUAGCGGCUAUUUGGUGCACUGAGUAGUAAAUUUUUAAGCAAAUGUGCAUCUUUAUGCUUUUAAUUACUUGCAAUCUAUUUUCUUUGCAGAUGCAGCAACUGGCUUGUACGCGGAUCUGUUGGCAAGGUGCUAAUGCAGUUUGCAAUCUUGCUUCAUUAGGUAGUUCUAGUUAAAGGAUGUAGAUUAUUUUCUCCAUAAAAUUUUAGCUUGCCUAGGGACAUGUAGAGCUGGAUUGAUAAUGCAGGGCUGGAUUGACAAUAGUCCAAAUACUGGUACGUAUUGAUUGGACUUGAAAUCUGUUCCUUGUUUUAGUACCAUGCCAGUUUUGCUAGCUUUAUUUCUGCAUGGAAGUCAGCAUCAUACUUUUCUUGCAUCAAAGUCUGACAAACCUAGCUAUCUUUCCUGAGUAGGUGUUGAAUUUAACUUUGAGUUAUUAUGCUACUCGUAAGUAUUCCAUCAUCCAUAGGUGGGGAGUCUCCAGAGCAUAAUCUUAAAAAAGUCUUACUUAUGAUGCUGGUUAUGUUUUCAUUGAAGACAAGCCUUUUCAAACAAAUAACGAUACAGUAGAUGCAAGUUAAGAUUUAAAUAAGGAACAAUAAUUUACGAAGUAACUGGACAGAAAAGAGAAGCUGAUAAAUCAAAAGGGUCUGACCUAAUUAGUGCUCUUUCUUAUCAGGACCACAUAGUAUAUUUUCUUAACAAAUAAAAAAAGAACUAUUGUACUGCAUGAAGUUUGAAAUGUACUAGAUUCGUAAAACUCUGGCAAGAUUAGGGGUGCUAGUCUCAUGCAGCUAUUCGCCUACUUUCCACAUUGAAGAUUUUUCCCGUCAUCAUUCCUUUGCAGCAACCGGGUUCUUUUGAGACAAUGGGAGCAAUUCGGACAAGCUAAGAUUGUUCUGGCUUGCAAGAAUCAACAGGAAAUGUACGUCAUAUCUUUCCCAGGACGUAUGUUUCUUUGAACAAUAUUUGCUGGAUUAUGAUGUAGCCUGCCUUUUUCCCUCAUUGUGUAUUAUCAGGAACAGGAUAAAGGAAACUGCAGAACACCGAGGUAUCCCAACUUUUGUUGUUGCAGAUGCAGGGCGUACUCAGGUUUGUUUUAUGCUUUAUGACUCUGCCUAUAUUGAUAUAUCGGAUUAUUUUCCAUCUGUGUUGGUCUGUGUUGGUGUCACUUUGGGAGGACAAGUCAGUUAUCUAUUGAGCUGUAAAAGCAGCCCUCUUCAGGCUUCUGACAAUUCAGCAUUCGUAGUGAUACUGGAUGUCUGUAUCUGAAUAACUCUUGAGUAAUUGUUGUAGGGUAUAUUUCUUACUGAAAUCAUGUUCUUUGUUGUUGAUUUUUAAACCACAUUUAUCCAUCAGGAUGUUCGUAUUUGUGCUAUUGUUUAUGCAACAAUUCAAAUCCAGUGAUUUCAUUUAUUUUAACAAUUGCAUUGUAGCUCUUUCAAUGCAUAAUAAAAUGAAUAACGGAAUUUAUUGCAUCAAAAAUAAAUAAAUAAAUAGUGGCAGCUAUAAUCAAAUGACUGUGAUGCAUUUACCCUGAUCAUUACUAAUUCUCAUUCUGUUUGUAGGUACUGGCAGGAUCUAAGACAGUUCUUGCAGUAGGACCAGGUUAAUUUCACAAUCAGAACUAUGUGUUUUAAUCUCUUAGACACUAUCAGGGGUUUUCACGAGUCAGAAUUUCCCCUUGUUAAUUACAUUGUCCUAAUUCGGUCAAAAGAACAUGAUCCUCAUGCCCUGUAUGGAGUAUGGGCCACAGAUAGAGCGAUCUAACUGUUAUCUGGUGAAGCCCACUAAUUAUUUCAUCUUUAGCACUAUGCUAGAGCAUAAUAUCGCAUGCUGUUGUGGUGCAGGGAGGAAAGCCGACAUAGAUACAGUUACUGGGAAAUUGCGUUUACUGUGAGCUGCAUUCGACAUGGUCAGUCCCAGUCCUCUGUUCUUCCUGGUGUUGUUCUUCCAAAAUAUCAGCCUUUUGUCUUAUGAAUUUCGAAAGGGCUUGUGAAUAUUCACUAAUUUUUAGAACCCUUAAAAAAACUUGGUAGUAUCUUCACGAAAAGAAAAGAAAACACUGAUGGUAACCAGAGUGUUCUUGAUGCAAGUUUCAUCUUCAUACUGCCUUAGACAACAACAAUAUCUGCUAACCUUGGGCUUUUCUCUUCAUUUGAUUCCAGAGCAUUCAUCGGAGUUCAACUUCGAUGUUCUCCUGAGUAGAAGGCCAGGAUCAGUUUACUUGUGUUUGUGUGCUUCGAGGAUUCUUACUUUGGUCUUUCAUAUCAGGGCAGUAUCUUAUGUUUGUGGGCUUGCUGUUGAAGGACAGAAUACUUUCGUUGUACCCAUUUCUCAUGUUAACAAGAAAGUGAUUCCGCUGAUCCAGCUCUAGAGUGCUUGAUUAAAAUGCUAUCAACCUUUUUCUCGUCCACUUGAUGCUAGUGCAUAACAGCCUUUUUUACCCUGUUUGCGCCACUGGACAAGUGUUUGUAAUUUCAAAGUAGGUUAUCGUCGCUUUCCAAGUAAUGGAUCCCUUGCACCGUGUGCCCAAGAGGAAACGUCAAACAUGUGUACUUCUCGGCCAUUUGGUAGCCCCGUCUUGUCAAACACUCUUGGCAUUUCUAGUUGCGCAUCUCUAUUCCGGAUGUGUGAACUUCAAUCUUCAGUUUUCUCGUCAAGUGUUACAUAUCGGAUUCUUGUGUUAUGUCAGAUUCUUUUCAUAAUCGUGCAAGCAGUAAAGUGAAAUGGAAGAUUUACUGAAAAUAGUUGGGCUCCGUCCACAAAUUGGGAGGAGAUAUUCUGUUUGCUUAAAAAUUAUGCUCGUCUGCAAACUAAAAUAAAAAUCCUCUACUCAAAUACGUGUAUUCCAUCUUUCUUUCCCUGUUGCCAAAUUUUUACAUUUUUUUGAGCGAAUUUUACAUCUUAUUUAAAAACUGACUUGAAUGAGUUCGGGCUGGACCGCUGGAGUUGACGUGUUGCAAGCAUCGCAACUCGCAAAGUCACAGACAGGGAGGCCCAAUAAAAGCAAACCACACGGAGGCCGCCCGAGUUUCGCAACGGACACCCAGCCCGGUCGCGUCCCCGCUCCUACCCUCCCCUGCUCCACGGAAGUCAGGGCAGGGUCCAAACCCUCAAACCCCGCGCCGCGCCGCCGCCCACAUGGCCUCCUCCUCCUCCCGCUCCCCCGCCGCCUCUCGCCGGGGCGGCCGCGCGGCGCGGCAGUCCCCGUUCUUCCGCGACCUGGCCUCCCCAAUCCCGUCGCACCGCGGCGCCGCCUCCCGCUUCGCCUCGGCCAACGCCGCAGCGAACGCCACCCCCUCCGCCACGCCGCCGCCCCCGCCCCUCUUCACGCUCGACGACCGCUUCGCCGCCGCCGACUUCUCCCCCGACCCCACCGCCUCCGACCUCCUCCCCGUCGCCAACUCCCCCUCCCCACGCGCCGCCGCUGGCAGCCGCUCGCCGUCAUGGGACCACUCCCGCGGCAGGGUCUCCGCCCCCGGGUCCCCCAUGGAUGGGGUCGUGGAGCCGGCCCGGAAGGACCUGCUCGCGCUGCCCCCGCCGUCGAGUCCUUGUACUCCUCCUCAUCCUCCUCCCACCGCGGAGGCACAGUCGCCGGUCACCCCGGCGACGAUGACGGCUAGGACGGAGCCGGCGGCGAGCGAAGGGAAAGUAGAUGCUGAGGAGUGGGUCACUGUAUUCGGGUGAGCAAAUGAUGCGCAGUUCCUUACUUAGUCUGUAGUGGUUUUGCUGCUGUACAGGCGUGUAUAUACAUGGUCGAUUCAGCUCCGGAGAUCAUAGCUUAAUGCUUGUAGACUGUGCCGGAUAAGUUAGAAAUCAUAGCUUUUCUUGAACAAUUGUUUGUUAAAGCCAAAUUUUGGGUCCUUGUAUGAUAAAUUUGGUUUCUUGGUGUUUGCUGUUUCCCCUCGUGCAGAUUCUCCCUUAGAGAUACCAACCUUGUCCUUCGGGAGUUUGAGAAAUGUGGUGUAAUAUUGAGACAUCACUCUGGUCCACGAGACGGUAAUUGGAUCCACAUAUUAUACCAGGUAAUGAUAUCCUCAGUUUCUGACACUGCCAUUUUUUGCUUACCUUCGGCUUUCCUGUAUUUAUGUUUUCCAAUCAGUCAUACUGACUUACUGAGUAGUAUUACGUAAGGUUGCUUUGUCGCUUAGUGGCGGCUUAAUUGGUAGUUGCCAGUGAAUUGUGAUGCUACAUAAACUUAUUUAAGCCCCUUUAUAAUUUGAACCCUGUGCAUUCAUGGUUUUAAGCCGAGAUUUCAUGGCCGUUCACAAUCUUUUGAUUCGAAACAUAACGGUUUUCCAGUUCAAUUCAUGUGAUGAAUGACCAUACAUGGUUCUACUCAAAUUAUGCUUGGUAUAAUUCUGAUUACACUACAUGGUUUUACUCAAAUGAUAUUAUUUCUUUCACUCUUUGUUAAAUUCUGUAAGAUGGAUGGUGCCUAAGGUUGCAUUUUCUUAAAAGAGUUUCAGUUAAUGGCAUGCUAUUAUUUUACUAUGCACACCGAGUUAUGUCCUCAUAUGUGUAAAUACUACAGUAUACGGUUCAGUUGUCUUUUCAACAUGAUUAUACAGUUAUGCUAGUCCUUAAUAUAAUAUCCUGUUCACUUUUUAGCAUCACAUGGUCCAGUAUAACACCAUAGGAAAUGUUCUUCUACUCUGUACCUUUUUUUAAAUAUCUCCAUAUUCUAGCAUAAUCUAUCUCUAAGCCUUUAGUCAUAAUGAAAUUUCUAAAAAGGUUCCUCUAACGUGUAAUUGCUAUGGGAUUUGUUUACGGUGCCCUUGUGAUGCCUGAAACUUUUGUGAGCAUGCAUGACCUCUUGGCUGUAAGACAUUACAAAGCAAAAAUUUUGUAUUAUAAUGACCGAGGGGAAGCUUUCUGAUUAAAUUACCAACUACCAUUGUCUUUCUCAUAAAGUUAUUAGGCUUUAUCUGAAGAACUCUUGAGCAAACCUUUUGGUAUUGACUAGUUAUUGUUGGCACUGGUACUGUGGUAGUUUUGUUUCAUAUAAUCAGAUUAAGAGCCUGUGUAGUCACAAUCGCUUCCACCUUUAUGGAUCUUUUUCUAAUUCGUUCAUACAGUUGCAGAAAAAUCCAUUUUGCUGCUUUCGUUGAUUUUUUUCUGCAGUUAAAUUCCCACACCCUUGCUGUUAUCACCGUUCUGCAAUUUACAGCCUUUCUCAGACAAACCAUUGUUAGAGUUCUGCUAUGUGCAUGCAGCAUGUGACCUUUUUCUACAUUGUUGGUGUGGCAAUUCAUUUUGUUGUUGUUGCCAAACAGCUAUUCAUUCAUUUGGUCUUAUUAGUUCUUAAGCUGACAGUUAUCUUUAUUGUACUUGGUCUUGAAGCAUUCUUACGAUGCCCAGAAAGCCCUUCAAAAGAACGGUAUCCAACUAACCAGUGGUGUCAUAAUUGGAGUUAAGCAUAUUGAUCCAAUGCACCGGCAGCAGCUGGAUGAUAGGCUCACUGGUAUCAAUCAAGGAGGCUUCAUGAUUUCCUUGCCUUCAAAAUCACUUGUCCUGAAGAGCACAGGUGUAUCAGACCAGUUAGGUGCCUUGCCACGUCCAUAUGAUCCGAAGUCUAACGCAAAUGUUAUCAGAGAUGCAGGACGUCGCGCAACAGGUAGCGUUGCCGCACCAGCAAAAUCAAUUGUAACAAAUGUGAUGGAUAUGAUAUUUGGUAUCUAGUUUGCCAGCUUGGGAGACCUUAUUAUGAUAUUAUAUACAUUCAGCCUGUGGCGUUUCCUCUGUCAGUGUCUCUGCUAGUGAGCGAGAAUGUCAUAGUGCGAGAGGUCCGGGAGCACGUUUGGGAGAACUGGAAGAGUGGGCUUCUUUUUUCUGUUGAUGUAACAUUUAUAAUGUGCCAUUUUUCACGUUUAUAUUAUGAUCUGCUAAGAUGUGAGCGGUUGUUCUUGUAUGCCGGUGAAUGCUAACAAGAGCUGUACUGCUGUACUACAGCUCCAACAUUAAGAGAAGAUUUCAACAUGUAUUUAUUGUGAUCGCUGCAAUAUACAGAUGGUUUGUUGCCCUCUGAAGCCAAGGGGCAAGGGCUAUGAUUUGUUUUGUUUUUUUUUUGUGCGUGGGAAAGGUUUUGCUCUUUAGCAACAGUAACAAAUUUAUGAUAAAAUCGAAUGGUGAAAAAAAAAACUUGUUUUAAACAAGGCGACUGCUGGGCUCGAAUUUUCGCAUUGGUUUUAAUGUAAUGUGGCACAUUUUGAUGAGUUUUUUUUUGGCUUAGGGAUUUCGAUUAGAUUGUUGGUUUCUUUUGCACAGCGAUAUUUUCUUGUGGCAGUGAGUUGCAGCCUUCUGAUUGGCUAGUUUCCUUGGGAAUAUGUCACCGGGCCAAUCAGAAGACAGACGGCGUCUUCAGCUCCUGGGGUCAACAGUGCAUGAACUAUUAGCCGUCGAUGAAAAAGACACCAACGGCUUUGAUUACCACUUUAUAUAUUUUUAGUAGUACGAAAAGUAAAGCUCCCUCGAAUUUACCUAUUAGACCUUAUCCUUUUCGUGGUAGCACAUUUGAUUUUUGUGACUGAAAACUAGAGAUGUUGGUUGGAAAGAGAGAAGAGAUUUUCCUGAGAAAUUAUCAUAAACAUGGUUUCUAAAAUGUGUUACUCCGUACUAUUAGAAAUACAGUUCCUGACUGGUAAAAAAUAAUCGAAUGAUAAGAAAAUACUCACACAAAGCAUUUUAAGUAGGAUAACACUCGAAAUACUACUAUCCUCAGGGUGUCAUUCACAAAAAUUGCAAUAAAUCCCGACACUGGACUCGACUGGGUUUCGCGAUCGCGAGGUCUUCGUCUCCGCCUGGGAACGCUACUGGGAUUUCUCCGUCCCACCCCCUUCCCUCCACUCACAGCCGAGAUUCGGCAGCAAUGGCGGAGCCCGAGCCAACCACGGCGGCGGCCGCUCCCGCUCCCGGCCGCCUCCGCAACGCCUUCGGCGGGGUGCUGUGCGCCUUCACCCUCCUCCUCAUCGGUGUCCUCGCGUUCUCGAUCCGCCUCUUCUCCGUAAGAUCUGAUCCACCCCCAACUCCUUCAGAUCCAGUUCGAAUAGCGUCCUCGGAAUUGUGUGUGGCUUAGGCGUUUCCUCGUUUUGGCGCCGCAGGUGAUCAAGUACGAGAGCGUGAUCCACGAGUUCGACCCCUACUUCAACUUCCGCGUCACUCAGGUUGGAUUGCUUGGUUCCAUUUUUUUUUUGUUGGUUUUGUUCUGGAUCAGGUGGAAUUUUGUUCAACUCAUAGGGGAUUGCAAUGUUAUGCUGUGCCUUGUGACUCUUGAGUGUUGGCGUCGCAGGGUUCUGGGUUUUGGAAAUUGACUGUCGUCUGGUAGAUUUCGUUUUCAGUUGCAUGAUUGGUUGAAGUUUAGAGCAAGCAGAUACUUACCAUAGGAACAUGAGUCUGGCUUGAUGCAGUUAUGCGUGGUAUUUGUUCUAAAGUUUCCCCAUCUGUGCAGUUUUUGUCGAAGAAUGGAAUUUAUGAGUUCUGGAACUGGUUUGAUGAUAGGACAUGGUAAGAGUCACACAUACAGCUGAAUCACUUAAUACUGUGCAACUUCUUUGUUGUGGAAUGUGUAAGACAAAUGCAUGGCUGAUUUCCUUUCUGUUGCUUCUGCUUUAGGUAUCCCCUUGGUCGUGUGAUUGGUGGCACUGUGUAUCCUGGGUUGACAUUGACAGCUGGAAGCAUUUGGUGGUAUGUUACCAACUUACCAUAGGAACACUCUCACUCUCCUCCCAAUUGCUCAAAAUGUGGCUGAAAUAUUUUAUUGUUCUACUAGGUUGGUAAACGCUCUUAACAUCCCAUUGUCGGUGGAGACUGUUUGUGUGUUCACCGCUCCAAUUUUCUCAGCAAAUGCUUCCUGGGCUACUUACCUCUUGACAAAGGUUGCUUUUCCACAGAAGCAUGCGCUCUCAGCCUCUCACACUAGUUACUCGUCUGGAAAUUCUGUGCUUAUUGAUGUAUCCUUUUUCUAUAGGAAGCAAAGGGCACUGGAGCUGGAUUGAUGGCAGCUGCCAUUCUGGCAAUGGUAUAUUACAGUAGCAACCUUCUCCUCACACUUUUGGCCAGAAAAAUUUCAGCUACAGGAUUUGUGUUCUUGAUUAAUAGAUAUUUUCAGUUUAGUAUGUCACGUCGAAACUGAAAGUAUGAAUUCCUUAUUUCCUUUGGAUGAGGCUAGAGAUGUUGUUUGGUAAUUUCAGCUUUACCUACAUUUGGGUGGUGGACAUAGAAGUGUGGAUUGUGGAACAAUUUUUCAUACCAUUUCUGGUUUGAUUUUGGUAUGCCAAGCUAAUAUUUCUAAAAUCGUCGAGACUGCUAAAUGAAUGAAAUUGUGUUAGCUUACACACAAAAAUGCUGAUACAAUUAGGUGGUAACUGCCCCAAUUGAGAAGUACUCUGGUGAGGUCCUGCAACAUAUUUAUACAGAUUCUGAAAUCCAAAUGUGGCGCACGUUUAAACAAAAGCAAGAUGUUCAACUUAUUGCUAUUUCUAAGAAUGCUGCAUUACCUAUAUGUGUGAUCUUGCUUUCUCUAACCAUAUUGUAUCAUCAUUCAUUAAUCAGAACCAGAAUGUUGUCGUCUCUUGACAUUGUUACAGGUCCCUUCGUAUAUCUCAAGAUCAGUUGCAGGUAGUUAUGAUAAUGAAGCUGUAGCAAUAUUUGCCUUGGUAUUCACGUUUUAUCUUUAUUUAAAGGUAAUGGUGCAUGGGAUGCCUCUUCAUUUGACUUCUUUUUACCAUAGCGUUAUGGCUGACUUGUUUUCAAAUGAUGUAAAGACACUGAAUACAGGAUCCCUCUUUUAUGCAACACUCAAUGCUCUAUCAUAUUUCUACAUGGUAAGCAUGUUGAUUUUAACCUAUAUUUUCAAAUGAAUAUUAUAAUCAUCUACCUGCUGUUUCCAGGUCUGUUCUUGGGGAGGCUACACGUUCAUCAUAAACCUUAUUCCAAUGCAUGUGCUCUUGUGCAUUGUAACUGGUCGUUAUUCUUCACGACUUUACAUUGCAUAUGCACCCCUUGUAAGUACAUAAUCUUACGCUCUUGUUUCUUGAAUUUGAACACAAAAAAAGGGAGUGAUGCUAACUGGAUAUGUCAGUUGUACUUACUAUUUUUCUGGAAAGGAUCUCAUCAAUUAAUUAUUCUGCAGGUUAUAUUGGGUACACUUCUGGCGGCCUUGGUACCUGUGGUUGGUUUUAAUGCAGUAUUGACAUCUGAGCACUUUGCAUCAUUCCUGGUACCUACAUUCACGUUAUUAUGCAUGUGUUCCCACCUUCUGGGGUUUUUAAUUCAGCAAAAUAAUAUUGAAUGAAUUGACACAUGCAAUUCUCAUGUUUCUUGAAACUUGUAUUUCAAAAUUGGAGUUCUCUUGAGUUGUUGAAUUUUAAAAAUGCUGCAAAAAUAGACUUCAACAUAGCGUCACAAAAUGUGAUCACCGGAAUUUUCCUUUUGGACCAAAUGAAAACACUUAAUUCACUUCUUUCCCGGUUCAUCUAUAAUACGUGCACAAUAGUAGACUAGAUCAAGUUAGUUGACUUAAUUCUACUUCUUGUUUGCGAAAUUGAAAACUGAGAACAUGAAAAGAGAAAUCAACAGUAUUGCAGCAAUUAAAACCCGAACCAUUCGAGGCACAACUUGAGAGCCUUUAUUUAAGAGGUUGGCAGCAUUACCUCAUCUCCAAAAGAUAUGACUGCCAGUGAUAAUCACCAGCAUAUGAUCAGAAGUACCGUGACAUCUACCAGAAGUCACCUACUACGAUCUGCUUUUAAUGCAAAUUGGUGGCGGAUAGCAAGCAUGGAGAUUCCUGGAAGUUUACCACCAUUUUGCCUCUUCCUUCUGUUUGGUCGUAGUUGAAAUCAUCCCUUGGAUUCGCCUCGAUCUCAGUAUAGUGAUACACCUGUUGCCAUCUUGAGGGCGGACACGAUAAUCUCCAUUUUCUUGCACGUCUGUGUUUGAUAAUAUUUGUACAACUGCAUUGGGCAGGCGGACUAAGUUAUGCUAUCGAUAAAAGUGUAACAACCCCAUUAAAGAAGAAAUCUAUAACCACUCAAGUCCCUCUUGUAACUUCACUAAAUUGAUAGUGGUGCGGAAAAUGCAAUAACUACUCUUUAUUUUAUUGAUAACGGAGUACUUGAAUUGCAGGUGUUUAUAAUCCUUCAUGUGGUUGCUUUUGUGUAUUAUAUCAAAGGACUUUUGACUCCCAGACUGUUCAAAGUGGCUAUGACCCUUGUUAUAACUGUUGGCUUGUAAGUCUCUGGCCUUAUCUCUCAUCUAGAAUGUGCUAGGCACUAAAAUUCUAGCUAAGUUCAGACCUUGAAACUAGCAAGCAUCAACUCCUCAAAUCUAAACAUUACUUUUUGUUGAAUUGGUAGCUCCUUAUUGACUAUAUGUUAAUAGAGAGAUUCUUUGUGCAGGGCUGUUUGUUUUGCAGUAGUAGCUGUACUCGUUGCGUUGGUGGCAUCUAGCCCAACAAAAGGCUGGAGUGGGCGCAGUUUGAGUCUACUUGACCCGUAAGUUCUGUGGAUCUUAUCAAAUAAAAACUCAGAUAUUCUGCGAAUAAUAGAGUUAGGCAACUGUGCUGGAAAUGAUAACAUAACUAGCUAUGCCUAUGUCUUUAGGUUUUGAAGUUGCUUACAUAAUUGUACUUUUGACACUCUAUCUUUUGGACAAAGGAAAACAGUUUCAUCAAUUAGUACAUAGUUAGGUCCUUUUUAUUCUUAGUUUCUUCUCUAUACAGAGUCAUAUUAGAGUGUUCUUGCUCUUUUUUUCUUCCUGUGUCAAUAGCUGCAACUUUAUUCUUGCUUUUCUGACAGAACCUAUGCAAGCAAGUACAUCCCAAUCAUUGCCAGUGUCAGCGAACAUCAACCCCCAACCUGGCCCUCUUAUUUUAUGGAUAUCAAUGUGCUGGCCUUCUUGGUUCCUGCCGGGAUAAUUGUAAGCAAUAUACCUUUUGAAUUCGAAGUGAAUUAGAAUCAGACCAAGCCCUAAUUAGUCACUUCUUGACAUGAUCUGCAGUCAUGCUUCUUGCCAUUAUCCGAUGCAAGCUCCUUCAUGGUCUUGUACUUGGUCACUGCAGUCUAUUUUUCUGGAGUAAUGGUAAGAAUAUGUGGAAUAGAAUUCAUGUAUAGUCCUACGUUUAUUAAAUAUUUAUUUGAUAACUUCCAGUUAUGUUCAUUGUCUAUCAGGUACGGCUUAUGCUUGUCCUCGCUCCUGCUGCAUGCAUUCUAUCUGGGAUUGCUCUGUCUUCAGCUUUCGAUGUCCUCACACGAUCUAUGAAAUUUCAGCUAUCAAAAGUAUUUAAUGAUGGCUCUGCUGUUGUACGGUUGCUUCUUCCUCUUCUUUUUUGUUCUGUCUGAAUUGAAGUACCUAAUAUCUCAUUGAACAACUUAUUGACAACUCGUUUCUUCUGAAACUAAGUCAGGGGAUAGUAUUGCAGAGGGUUCUACUGCUAGUAAUGACACUAAAGGUUCUAGCACUAGCACGGUCAAUACAAAUUCCGCGAAAAUUGAAAACAGGACUGAAAAAUCUGAAAAACCAUCAAAGAAGAACCGGAAGAAGGACAGAGAAGUGACAGGAAGUGUUCCUGUAAAGCCUAAAAAGGAAAAGAGACUUUCAGUACUGCCUCUGGAAGCGUCUGUUGUGGGUACUUUGUUACUGAUUGUGUUAGGUGGUUUCUAUGUGGUAAGUUCACUCCCUUAGUAUUACCAGAAAGAACGUCUCUUUAUAGAACGAGAGGCACCUUAACAAUGCCACUUUUGCAGGUCCAUUGUGUUUGGGCUGCAGCUGAAGCAUACUCUGCACCUUCAAUUGUGUUGACAUCUCGUUCACGUGAAGGACUGCAUGUAUUUGAUGAUUUCCGUGAAGCUUAUGCAUGGCUGAGCCAUAACACAGAUGUAGAUGACAAGGUAUGCUCGCGCACCCCUGUCUUCUACUCCUUUUAUUAUGCGAACUGUCUGUUCUUACAGUAAGAUGUUCUGCUGCAGGUUGCAUCCUGGUGGGACUAUGGUUAUCAAACAACUGCUAUGGCUAACAGGACUGUGAUUGUAGACAACAAUACCUGGAAUAACACCCACAUAGCAACAGUUGGUACAGCGAUGUCAUCUCCAGAAAAAGCAGCAUGGGAGAUCUUUGAUUCUUUAGAUGUCAAAUAUGUGCUUGUUGUGUUUGGAGGUUGGUGCUUUAUGGACUUAUGGCAUGACUGGUACCAGCCAUCACAUCACAGUUCACAGAUAUAUGACACUGGGUGUUUAUUUUACAGGGCUUGUUGGCUACCCUAGUGAUGAUAUUAAUAAGUUCCUUUGGAUGGUUCGCAUAGGAGGUGGUGAAUUCCCUCACAUCAAAGAACCAGAUUAUCUUGUGAGUGUGAAUUCCUUUCUUCAAUGGUGCCCUGCGUAGUGAAAUAUCGACCUUGUAUAUUGCAUGCCAUUUCUGAUUUCUUGUGUUAUGUUAUUGCCAGAGAGAUGGUCAAUACCGUGUUGAUUCUCAAGCAACUCCAACUAUGUUGAAUUGCCUCAUGUACAAGCUUUGCUAUUACAGGUUUGGUGCACAGAAUUCAAUAGGACAAGUUCAGUCAGCAUCACUACGCAUGUUCUUUUGACAUUUGUUUUCCCUUUGUUCCCUUCAGGUUUGUUGAGACUGAUGGCAAAGGCUUUGAUAGAGUAAGAGGAUAUGAGAUAGGAAAGAAGCAUUUUAAGCUAACACAUUUUGAAGAGGUAUUGUGAUCCUAUUCUUCUUCCCAUUAACUAAAGUUGAUUUUGACCCCCUUUUUUUACUCUGUCCUCUGCUUGGUAUUUACCUAUCGCCGUUGUGAAUAAAGGUUUUCACUACGCACCAUUGGAUGGUCCGUAUUUAUAAACUGAAACCUCAAAAGAACAGGAUUCGAGGCAAGUUGAAGAAGUUGAAAUCUGUAAGUUUGUCAACCUACUAAUAUUCAUACUUGCACUUUCUUAGCCUAUCCUCAACAAACCUUACGAUUGAUUCUUACCUGCAGAGUUCCAAAACUAGUUCCACGCUUGCAGCAGGCCGAAAGAAGAACCCGUGGCAAUAAAGAGAAACCCCAUGUUUCGUUUACAUGAAACCCGAUAUUGUAGCUCAAGUGCGCUAAGCUCAAAGGACUAGAACACUACAGAACUAGAUUAGAGAGAUCUGCAUUGUUGUGCUCGGAACUUGACACCCCCUGAUAUGUUUUCUUGGAACCAGCCAGAGUGCUGAAGACAAUUUUUGAUAUGGACAAGAAACGUUUCUUGUCUCCCCUUCUGGGACACAACAGGCCGUGUCAACUUUCGCUUGUCAAUACUGGAACAUGCCCGUUGUGAUUUAAUUAGUUUGUUUUAUGCAUUGAAUUGCUGUGGUUUUGGGGACCCAGAAACGGUUGCUUCUCGUUAAGUUUUAGUUUAACCUUUCUCGUCCGGAGUCCGGACCUGCGCAAAGUUUAGUAUGUAGCGCUCGACGGCUAGCGCUUAUCCGGGAGAGAGCACUUCUACUGCAGUUGAGAGCGUUGGCAGCAGCUUGCAUCAGACUGCAGCGCGGAGGAGACUUGCUGAGUGCAUGGUGGCUCUUGCCAAUACGGGCGGCGUACGUGCCUCAAUGUCCUCAAUGAGCGCAACAUCUCGGAGGAGAUCCUGAAGCCGUCAGAGCACCCGCAAUACCAAGCGUCCAGCUGCGGGACCUUUUGUUCCGUCUAUGAUCAAAUACCAAUCGCCAUCGAUCGUAGUGGAGGCAGCGAGCAUCGCCUCAAUCUUUUGUUCCGUCUUGUCCGGGAGCCUCGUCCAGCCUCUGUCGUACUGAAAAAUCGGACGCAAACCAAAAUCGUUACGUCUAGCAAUGCUCGCCGUAUGUACACUUGAGUAGUUCCGUUCUGCCAACUGCCAAGUGCUGACCACUCGAUCCUGCUCCCGCUGUCCAUUCCAGUGGUUGGCACUAGUGUCUUCUCCCAUGGCCACGAAGCUCCAACGGCUGCCGUAGGCCUUUUUCGGGCUCACGGCGAAGCCUUUGCCGUGCCGUAGGCUUUGAGACGUGUCUCCUGAAAUCGUACGUGGAAGGGACCUCUGUCGUACUGAAAUCGUACUUUCAGCAAUGCUCGCCGGAUUGUAUAUAUACACGUAGAAGUUCCAUUCUGCCAAGUGCCAACCACUCGAUCCUGCUCCCUCUAUCCAUUCCAGUGGCUCGUUGCCACCUUUCGCGUUUCGCCCAUGGCCACGAAGCUCCAAUGGCUGCCCGCGCUCCUGCUCCUCCUCCUCUUCCCCAUCUUCCUCGUCGGCGGCCUCAAAACCCCCAAAGAAGCCGCCUCCGGCGCCCACAACCCUGUCGUGCUGUUGCCGGGGAACACCUGCAGCCAGAUCGAGGCCCGCCUCACCGACGCCUACGACCCGCCGUCCCCGCGCUGCGCCGCGGCCGGCAACGACAACGCCCGUUGGUCCCGCCUAUGGAAGAACACCACUGCCCCGGAGCCCGACGCCCCGUGCUUCGCCGACCAGCUCCGCCUCGUCUACGACCACGCCGCCGACGACUACCGCAACCCCCCGGGCGUCCUCACCCGCGCUCUCUCCUUCGGCUCCACCCGCGGCUUCCUCUCCGACACCCCCGCCGACAAGUACAUGAACAAUCAAUCCAAUUAACCUCUAAAUGGAGUGCCUGAUUUUAAUCUUUGGUAAGUUUGUUUAUUAGGGAACUGUGCAUGGGGAGGCUAGUGGAGGCGCUGGAGCGAGCAGGGUACGUCGACGGCGAGACACUCUUCGGCGCGCCGUACGACUUCCGCCACGCGGCGGCACCGCCGGGGAAACCCAACAGGGAGUUCUCCAGGUUCCGACGCAGGCUAAGGACGCUAGUAGAGCACGCGAGCAGGAAGAACGGAGACAAGCCGGUCGUCCUCGUGUCGCACAGCCAGGGCGGCUACUUCGCGCUCGAGUUCCUCAACCGGACCCCGCAACCGUGGCGCACGCGGCUCGUGAAGGACCUGGUGCUGGCUUCCACGGGCGCCGGCGGGUUCGUGCUCUCCAUGCAGGGCCUCGCCACCUCCAACAACGCUAACAGCAGCAGAAGCACUGCUUCUUCGCCUGCCAACGUGCUGAAGCAGAGACAAGUGAGCACGAGCUUCGCGAGCGUGUUCACGGCGCUGCCAUCGCCCACGGUGUUCGGCCCCGACACGCCGCUGGUGGUGACUCCAUCAAAGAGCUACGCGGCGCGGGACAUGGCGGAGUUCCUCGCGGCCGUGGCCGGGUUCACGCCGGAGGCCGUGCGGCGCUACGAGACCCGGGCGCUCCCCGUGGCGCUGCGCUUCGGGGCGCCCCUGGUGCCCGUGACCUGCAUCAAUGGCGUCGGCGUGCCGACGGUGGAGAAGCUCGUGUAUGGCCGGGGUGAUGGCACGGGACCGGAAGUGGAGUACGGCGAUGGUGACGGGGUCGUCAACUUGGCGAGCAUUCUGGCGCUUGACGACGUGAUCGGUGGGGAUCCCAGGCAGGAGGAGUACAAGUCUGUCAAGAUCGCUAAUAUGUCUCACCUCGGCGUUGUCUCGGAUGCUCUCGCCCUCGAGGUUUUGGUCGGUGAAAUUCUCGGACAACCCCGCGCCGUGCUUAUGUCGCGGGUGAUGUAGCUGGCAUUUUACCAGGCCGGUCCCGGCGUUUCUGUCCACUUAAUAUCAAAUGCGCCAAAAAAUUAUUAUCAGAAUCAGUAUUAGUACCGAUGUCUAGGUCAGUGUUAUUUUAUAUUGCUUACAAUCACGUAUCACACCUCUAUCAGCUCAUGCCCUCUGUGCGAAUCCCAGGAUCUAGCAGUUCAUUGACAGAGUGAGGUGAACAAGGGGAGCUGAAUGCAAAGUGAAGCUCCGCGUAUGAGAGGCCAGAGUAAAUACUGAGAAUUUUUUUUUGCAGCAUCACCAGCUUUCAUUUUGGACAUUUCAAAUUGAUGAUGCUCGAAGUAAGCAGGCUUCAUAUGCAACCCCACCAGUGCUGGUCUGAAGUCCUACAUGGAAGCAAAUUUGUAAACACGUCCACCCCACACGCGUGGUGCAACCAGAGGGUCGUUGGGCAGCGUCUCGAGAGUUGAGACUGUAGGUUCAGAACUGGCACUUUCACUUCUGGUCUGUGUAGACAGCAUCGACAUCAUCGAGUUCAAGCAGCUUAGAUACAAGGUCCUUGUUUAGUUCCAUGGCCUCGUCAUCUACCUGCGCACGUGGCAACGGGUCAGAUAUAAUUUUUUCCCACAUAUACAAAUUCCAGAAAUUAUUUGAGUGAUCGAAUACACCACAAUCUAAUCUCACUAUGUGGACAGCAUGAUGUCACGAUCUAUGAGUUGCUUUCCCAUGAUUAUUCAACCAUCUAAGACGUAAAUUGGCCAUGUCUCACGCAAGAUAUGCACUACUGGAAGUCUGGAACUUGACUGGAAGAUAUGUUGAACCUGAAGUGUCCGGUCAGGAUUUUAUCAGAUCCUGACAGAUUGGAAUAGCUCAAGAAGAUGCACUUAUCUUGUUUCCUACUUAGUCUCUGAGUUUAGUUGAACAUUCAAUUAUGGCCAACUGCAUCAUUUGGAAGUUCAUAGUAGCAACCUAAAGAUUUGGGGUAUGCACUACAGUAGAUCAGAAAAUAAACUACCAGACUAGAGACCUAACAGUAUCUUGAAAAUAUACCCAAAGAUUUGGCAGAGACAUGUGGUAAAAAUAGCAUUUAUCCAAUUAGUUUCAACUCCUAUAUAGUACUAUGGUAAAAGGAAAACCACAUACCUCAAUCGGGUUGAGAGGCAGCAGUUCAUAGCCAUUAUCCGUUUCAAAUUUUAUUCCUUCCUCUUGUAGCUUCGAUAGCACAACAGGAUAGUUUUCUGAUGUAGUAACUAUCUUGUAAAACCUGACAUGAGACAGAAAUUGUAAGAGUAGAAUAAUAAUAUAUGCGAAUCACGAUUUCUCUGAAGGAAUAUUCAUGGCUAAAUGUAGCAAAAUAAUCCCUCCGGUUCCAUAAUAACUGCCAUUUUAAAUACAGGUAAGGUCAAACUUUGACUACCAAUAUUUUCAAACAUAUAUAGAUUUUUUUUUAAACAAAAACAUACUUCCUCCUUUUCACAAAGUACUUUCACAAUAUGCCAACCUAAAAGGAGGGGGUAUAUAGAUUAGAUACUUGAACUUCACUCUUCAAAAGUACUUUCACAAUAGGCAGUUUUGCUUGGUUUGCAAGUGUCUUAAAAUCAAAAUUAGUGGUAAAAGUUGUGUUUGCUGGCCGUGUCGACGUCUAAAAUGACAGCUUUUACAGAACAGAGGGAGUAGAGAGUAAAGUAACAGGAUAUCACAUGCACGUUCACAACUAUCUGGAGAACCACCUGAACCAUGCUCUGAGAAGUUCGUCACGCUGAGGACAUGGAGCAGUGAUUUCACUUGCUUAAACAGAACUUCUCUAUAUGCAGUGCUUUUUGAAGGAUACAACAGCAGAGAACACCUAACAAGUGUCAAUUCACUACUUGUAAGAUCUAAGAUACUACCUAAUGCACAUGCGUUCCUACAAAAUUAUUAAUAUUAUUUUGCAUAAGUUGCUUAAACGCAUUUUUGCACUUAUGUUCCCAAAUUUUCUGCUGAAUAACAAUUAUCCAAAAUAUACACCAAUCCAAUCAGUUGUAGUCGGGAUAUGUAUAUCUACCAUAUUAAAUGGGUGCAAUUACAUUCAUUCACUAGUAAUACAAGGAAUGGUAUCAAUGGAGUGAAAGAUGACCACCAACUCAGAUAGAUGAGGAUUUAAUUGGACAGCGCAGAACUCAAGAUUUUCAGAUAGUAUGAUACCUUUCUGUAACUUCUUCAGAGUCAUCAUCAUAAUCAAAAUUUGGUUCAAUUACAUCAUCAGCACCAGCAUCCAAAGCAACAGAGAGUAGUUCGUCCUUAUCAGCAUCUGUAACUUUUAUGUUCACUACGCGAACUUGUCUGAAUCUAAACGUAACGGACCCAGGAUCAGCCAAUUUCGCUGCACAGUCCUUUACCACAUUUCUAAUAUCCGCAAUAGAUCUUGUAAUUUUGUCUGUAAGGACCUCAACGACCAUACCUACUCCACCAAAACCAUAGACCUGUUCAAAUGCUUCACGCACUUAAAACUUUUACAAGAGAAAAAGCAGUGACCCACAAACUUGUUAAUUCCUUGAACAAAAUUCUACCAUAUAGCUGCAUGGGAAAAUUUAUUUUAUACAUGUACAAAUAGUAUUGCCCUUAGAUAUGUUAUAUCAUACUGCCCAGAUGAGAAUCUAUCGACAAAUUAUCAUGCCAAAUGACAGAGAAGUGGUACCUCAUAAACCUUUUCCGUGUAAGUAUCCUGGCCCUUUUCUGAAGCUCUUUUCAUGUUACGCUCCACAACUUCCUUGGGAACAUCAAGCUCCCUUACUUUCUCCAGUAUUGCUGCUAAGGCUGUGUUGGAUGAAGGAUUAGGGCCGCCUUUAUUGAUGCUGCAUGAUAUGAUAUCCAUAUUUAACUGUAUAAGGAGCCAGAUUAGUUUUAAAAAAAGAGGCCACAUGUACUCUGAAUCUCUGAUGCUUAGGGCCAAAAUAAUAUGAAAACUCAUUUUUAAGGAGAAUAUUGAUGCUCCGUCUUAUAGGUACAGUGGAGGUAUUACCAGCUGCAGCACACACUAGUAAUACAUUUAGCAAUACAUCUACAAGUAAAACAAUGUUAUCCUCCUCAAGUCCUCAAUGAGGACAUAGUAGUAGUAGACAUAUUAGCAAAAUCUAGUGUGUUGAAUUAAAUCUACACACCAGAUACUGCAAGAUACUAAAAUAUUAGGGUAUGACAAAG
rnacentral:lncRNA from 1 species